rnacentral:lncRNA from 10 species
AAAAACCUGUGACUCUUAAUUUUGGCCAUUUUACACAAUCCCACAUUUCUUUCUUUCUUUCUUUCUUUCUUUUUUUUUUUUUGAGACAGAGUCUCGCUCUUUCGCCAGGUGGAGCACAGUGGCACGAUCUCGGCUCACUCCAACCUCCGUCUCCUGGGUUCAAGCGAUUCUCCUGGCUUAGCCUCCGUAGCAGCUGAUUCUACAGGCAUGUGCCACCACACCCAGAUGCUGGUUGUAGUAGCAAUGUGCUGGGUAUGUGAGGAGGUUCACUGCCUCCUAUGGGCUGGAAUGGAAGACGUUUCAUGAAGCAUAUCUUGUUCCCCAGUGGAAUGCUGAUGUUCCAUGUAGAGAGGGAUUAUGACUCCACCUCUCAUAGAAGCCUGAACCUGGAGGGCACUCCUUCUGUGAAGACACAGUCACCCUGAAGCUUUUCAGAAAGGCUGUCUAUGAACACACCCGUAUGGAGGCUCCUCGAUGUCAGCACAGGGCGGCAGCUGACCCUGCUGUGCACACAUGUGCUCUGUCCUGGAUGUCGCGACGGGAUUCCAGAGAGCUGUGGCCCCCAACCCAGGCACAACAGCAACCUCUUCCUCCAAGCCUGAGCUAUGGAGAGAGAAGUUCCAAGGGUGCUCGUGACAGAACCCCUGUCUUCCCCUGAUGCCAUAUGUCAUGUGUGGUCAUGUCAAGGCCCUGGCACUCAACAAUGACCCUCCAGGAUGUUCCAGAAUAUAUGCCUGAUCACCUGCCCCAUCUUCAGCUCUCCCUGGGCUUGGCCUUGUACUUAUGAACCAG